rnacentral:rRNA from 2 species
UACGUAGGGAGCAAGCGUUAUCCGGAUUUACUGGGUGUAAAGGGCGCGCAGGCGGGAAGACAAGUUGGGAGUGAAAUCCGGGGGCUCAACCCCCGAACUGCUUUCAAAACUGUUUUUCUUGAGUGAUGGAGAGGCAGGCGGAAUUCCCAGUGUAGCGGUGAAAUGCGUAGAUAUUGGGAGGAACACCAGUGGCGAAGGCGGCCUGCUGGACAUUAACUGACGCUGAGGCGCGAAAGCGUGGGGAGCAAACAGG